AUUGAACGCUGGCGGCAGGCCUAACACAUGCAAGUCGAGCGGAUGAAGGGAGCUUGCUCCUGGAUUCAGCGGCGGACGGGUGAGUAAUGCCUAGGAAUCUGCCUGGUAGUGGGGGAUAACGUCCGGAAACGGGCGCUAAUACCGCAUACGUCCUGAGGGAGAAAGUGGGGGAUCUUCGGACCUCACGCUAUCAGAUGAGCCUAGGUCGGAUUAGCUAGUUGGUGGGGUAAAGGCCUACCAAGGCGACGAUCCGUAACUGGUCUGAGAGGAUGAUCAGUCACACUGGAACUGAGACACGGUCCAGACUCCUACGGGAGGCAGCAGUAGGGAAUAUUGGGCAAUGGGCGAAAGCCUGAUCCAGCCAUGCCGCGUGUGUGAAGAAGGUCUUCGGAUUGUAAAGCACUUUAAGUUGGGAGGAAGGGCAGUAAGUUAAUACCUUGCUGUCUUGACGUUACCAACACAAUAAGCACCGGCUAACUUCGUG
rnacentral:rRNA from 1 species